rnacentral:rRNA from 1 species
GGGAUCCGGGCUUUCGGGUKUGGUGAGAGUGGCGAACGGGUGAGUAACACGUGAGUKACCUGCCCCCUUCUUUGGGAUAACGUCGGGAAAUCGGCGCUAAUACUGGAUAUUCUUGCUGCAUCGCAUGGUGUGGUUUGGAAAGGGUUUCUGGUGGGGGAUGGGCUCGCGGCCUAUCAGCUUGUUGGUGGGGUGAUGGCCUACCAAGGCUUUGACGGGUAGCCGGCCUGAGAGGGUGUCCGGCCACACUGGGACUGAGACACGGCCCAGACUCCUACGGGAGGCAGCAGUGGGGAAUAUUGCACAAUGGGCGCAAGCCUGAUGCAGCGACGCCGCGUGAGGGAUGACGGCCUUCGGGUUGUAAACCUCUUUCAGUAUGGAACAAGGAUCCUUCUUUUGGGGGGUUUGAGGGUACGUGCAGAAGAAGCGCCGGCUAACUACGUGCCAGCAGCCGCGGUAAUACGUAGGGCGCGAGCGUUGUCCGGAUUUAUUGGGCGUAAAGAGCUCGUAGGCGGUUUGUCGCGUCUGCCGUGAAAUUUCCUGGCUUAACUGGGAGCGUGCGGUGGGUACGGGCAGACUGGAGUGCGGUAGGGGAGACUGGAAUUCCUGGUGUAGCGGUGGAAUGCGCAGAUAUCAGGAGGAACACCGGUGGCGAAGGCGGGUCUCUGGGCCGUUACUGACGCUGAGGAGCGAAAGCAUGGGGAGCGAACAGGAUUAGAUACCCUGGUAGUCCAUGCUGUAAACGUUGGGAACUAGGUGUGGGGUCCAUUUCCACGGAUUCUGCGCCGUAGCUAACGCAUUAAGUUCCCCGCCUGGGGAGUACGGCCGCAAGGCUAAAACUCAAAGGAAUUGACGGGGGCCCGCACAAGCGGCGGAGCAUGCGGAUUAAUUCGAUGCAACGCGAAGAACCUUACCAAGGCUUGACAUACAUUCGUAGUUCCCAGAGAUGGGGGUGCCGUAAGGCGGGUGUACAGGUGGUGCAUGGUUGUCGUCAGCUCGUGUCGUGAGAUGUUGGGUUAAGUCCCGCAACGAGCGCAACCCUUGUUCCAUGUUGCCAGCGGGUUAUGCCGGGGACUCAUGGGAGACUGCCGGGGUCAACUCGGAGGAAGGUGGGGAUGACGUCAAAUCAUCAUGCCCCUUAUGUCUUGGGCUUCACGCAUGCUACAAUGGCCGGUACAGAGGGUUGCGAUCUCGUGAGGGUGAGCGAAUCCCGUAAAGCCGGUCUCAGUUCGGAUUGGGGUCUGCAGCUCGACCCCAUGAAGUUGGAGUCGCUAGUAAUCGCAGAUCAGCAACGCUGCGGUGAAUACGUUCUCGGGCCUUGUACACACCGCCCGUCACGUCACGAAAGUCGGUAACACCCGAAGCUCAUGGCCUAACCGUUUUUGCGCGGGGAGUGGUCGAAGGUGGGGCUGGUGAUGCGG